rnacentral:lncRNA from 1 species
UUCAAAACCAAGAUCAAGGCAUGGAAAGUGAGACUAACUACAUCAGGCCAGAAAUGAAAAGCAACUUAGGAGUCAAUUUUUAAAUACGUAUGCCAACGGAACCUUGAGGAGUUUUGAGGAGUCUUUCCUGCCGGGAUGACACUAGUACCGGGUGGAAGAGCCAAGAUCCAUAGCUAGGCUGAGGGAGCAGCUGUUCUUUGUCAUGUCUACACAAGGGCACAGCUUGGCCAUUACCAGCGCACAACUUCUGUGUGACAGCACAU